CCCUUAGAUGUUCUGGGCCGCACGCGCGCUACACUGAUGCAUUCAACGAGUUUCUUCCUGGUCCGAGAGGAAUGGGUAACCUUUUGAAAGUGCAUCGUGAUAGGGAUAGACUAUUGCAAUUAUUGGUCUUCAACGAGGAAUUCCUAGUAAGCGCGAGUCAUCAGCUCGCGCUGAUUACGUCCCUGCCCUUUGUACACACCGCCCGUCGCUACUACCGAUUGAAUGGUUUAGUGAGGCCUUCUGACUGGCGCCGCUACUCUGGCAACAGAGCGGCGGAUGCCGGGAAGUUGGUCAAACUUGAUCAUUUAGAGGAAGUAAAAGUCGUAACA
rnacentral:rRNA from 1 species